UUUCCAGCCGCCGCGGUAAUACGUAGGGUGCGAGCGUUAAUCGGAAUUACUGGGCGUAAAGCGUGCGCAGGCGGUGAGUUAAGUCUGAUGUGAAAGCCCCGGGCUCAACCUGGGAACGGCAUUGGAAACUGGCUCGCUGGAGUGUGGCAGAGGGGGGUGGAAUUCCGCGUGUAGCAGUGAAAUGCGUAGAGAUGCGGAGGAACACCGAUGGCGAAGGCAGCCCCCUGGGCCAACACUGACGCUCAGGCACGAAAGCGUGGGGAGCAAACAGGAUUAGAUACCCUGGUAGUCC
rnacentral:rRNA from 1 species